rnacentral:lncRNA from 1 species
AGCUCAAAGUAUGUCUGUCUCUCUUCUUGAUUAAUGGUUUGUUUCCUCGUGAAUAGAAAGAAUUCCUCUUCUAGGUUUCUGCUUCAAGUAGUAAGCAAAGGAUCCUACCUGCUUGUCUAAUGGUUGAAGACCUUAGUUCUUCUAUCUAGUUUGUGAGCCUAGCGCGAACGAAUAAGCUUAAACAAAUGGUUUCUUUGGCAGCGGUUUUUCUAAAAGGCG